rnacentral:rRNA from 1 species
UGGCGAACGGGUGAGUAACAUAUCGGAACGUACCGGGUANCGGGGGAUAACUGAUCGAAAGAUCAGCUAAUACCGCAUACGUCUUGAGAGGGAAAGCAGGGGACCUUCGGGCCUUGCGCUAUCCGAGCGGCCGAUAUCUGAUUAGCUGGUUGGCGGGGUAAAGGCCCACCAAGGCGACGAUCAGUAGCGGGUCUGAGAGGAUGAUCCGCCACACUGGGACUGAGACACGGCCCAGACUCCUACGGGAGGCAGCAGCG